ACGUAGGGUGCAAGCGUUAAUCGGAAUUACUGGGCGUAAAGCGUGCGCAGGCGGUUCGCUAAGUCAGGAGUGAAAUCCCCGGGCUUAACCUGGGACUGGCGCUGGAGACUGGCGGGCUUGAGUACGGCAGAGGGGAGUGGAAUUCCAGGUGUAGCAGUGAAAUGCGUAGAGAUGUGGAGGAACACCGAUGGCGAAGGCAGCUCUCUGGGGCGAUACUGACGCUCAUGCACGAAAGCGUGGGGAGCAAACAG
rnacentral:rRNA from 1 species